ACUCCUACGGGAGGCAGCAGUGGGGAAUAUUGGACAAUGGGGAAACCCGUAGCAUCCAGCAAUGCCGCGUGUGUGAAGAAGGCCUGAGGUUGUAAAGCACUUUCAACUGGUGAGGAUUGGAUUUUGGUUAAUACCCGAGAUCCUUGACGUUAGCAGUAGAAGAAGCACCGGCUAACUCCGUGCCAGCAGCCGCGGUAAUACGGAGGGUGCAAGCGUUAAUCGGAAUUACUGGGCGUAAAGCGUCUGUAGGCGGCUUAUUAAGUCGGAUGUG
rnacentral:rRNA from 1 species